AUGGAGAAAAACCCACCACUUCAUAUGAGAGUUUUAAACACCAAAAAACAGCUGGUCGGCCAGCGCAGCUCUUGGCCUCUUUUACCUUCUUUGCAGAUCUCCCACCCCCCUCCCAGUUGGGAAAGAGCUAAUAAUCUUCCUGUCCAAGCCCCUCGAUUUACUGGUGGGAAAACCAGGACCCAGACGGGGAAAUGGCUUGGCCAAGGCCGCACAGCUCUGGCUGGACAGCUGGCGUUGGAAUAUGUGGUUGCGGACCUAACUGGUGGCCCCGUCCUUCCCACCCCUACACGCUCCAGGUGUCCAGCCGACAGUCCGACAGCACAGCGUGGGAACCAAUGCCGGCAGAGUCGCAGGAGCAGGGGGGUUGCUCCCAAGGCAAGAAGUCAAGACUCAUCCCCACCCAAGGAUAUAAAGCAGAAAGGACGCCUGGAUCAGAAGGCCAAGGCCGCGCCAAAAUGCCGAAGAGAGACAGUGACGGAUCCAGUGACUCACUCCUCCCCAGGGAGCAGUCUGUGGAGGAAACGGCCUGAGGAGUGCAUGGGAGGAACUCCGUAUGGACAGACCUCAGGAAGGUCCUGGUCUCCAGGAAGGAAAAACAGAAGGACUGAGAUCACCAUAGCUGGCAAGAGUGCUAUCUCCAGGGUGUGCGGGUGCCUGGUGAGUGGCCGAGGGAAGGGCGGUGAGGGCCUCGGCUGCACAGGGAGCCAGCUUUCCUGGCCAUGCCGGGACACCUCCUCUAGCUUGGUGGCGGGGCAAGGACAGACCCAAAGGGUCCUGUGUGCUUCUGCAGACACAAGAUCGUGGGAUCGCCUGGUCAGGGGUGAUUUGCUGAUCCCAUCUGUGUCACCACCUGUGGACAGAAUCAUUUAGAUUUCACUUGCUAACAUUUCUAAGGACUUUCAUUUUGGAUUUCUUCCCAAAAGAAAAGCCUGAGUCCUGAUUCUUCUAUGUCUCAAACCGCAUCUUUGCAAAGAAUAACACAUGAAGUAAAAAUAAAACAAGGAAACCAUGCA
rnacentral:lncRNA from 1 species